GCCCAGACUCCUACGGGAGGCAGCAGUGGGGGAUAUUGCACAAUGGGGGAAACCCUGAUGCAGCGACGCCGCGUGGGUGAAGGAGCGUUUCGGCGCGUAAAGCCCUAUCGGCAGGGAAGAAGGAGGACGGUACCUGAAGAAGAAGCCCCGGCUAACUACGUGCCAGCAGCCGCGGUAAUACGUAGGGGGCAAGCGUUAUCCGGAUUUACUGGGUGUAAAGGGGGCGCAGACGGCAGCGCAAGCCAGGAGUGAAAGCCCGGGGCCCAACCCCGGGACUGCUCUUGGAACUGCGCGGCUGGAGUGCAGGAGGGGCAGGCGGAAUUCCUGGUGUAGCGGUGAAAUGCGUAGAUAUCAGGAGGAACACCGGUGGCGAAGGCGGCCUGCUGGACAUUAACUGACGCUGAGGCGCGAAAGCGUGGGGAGCAAACAGGAUUAGAUACCCGUGUAU
rnacentral:rRNA from 1 species